rnacentral:rRNA from 1 species
AUUCCAGCUCCAAUAGCGUAUAUUAAAGUUGUUGCAGUUAAAAAGCUCGUAGUUGGAUUUCUGGUAGGAGCGACCGUGCCGAACUUGAUUGUUCGUGUAUUGUGUUGUCUUCAGCCAUCCUCGUGGAGAACUUUUCUAACAUUAACUUGUUGGGAUUGGGACCCGCGUCGUUUACUGUGAAAAAAUUAGAGUGUUUAAAGCAGGCAUUAGCUUGAAUACAUUAGCAUGGAAUAAUAAGAUAGGACUUUUGUCCAUUUGGUUGGUUAUUGGACAUGAGUAAUGAUUAAAAGGGACAGUUGGGGGCAUUAGUAUUUAAUAGUCAGAGGUGAAAUUCUUGGAUUUAUUAAAGACUAACUUAUGCGAAAGCAUUUGCCAAGGAUGUUUUCAUUG